AGAGUUUGAUCCUGGCUCAGAACGAACGCCGGCGGCAGGCCUAACACAUGCAAGUCGAUCGGGCCCUUCGGGGUUACGAGGCGCACGGGUGAGUAACGCGUGGGUAUCUGCCCUGGAGUGGGGGAUAACCGCUGGAAACGGCGGCUAAUACCGCAUACGCCCUGAGGGGGAAAGCUUUGGCGCUCCAGGAGGAGCCCGCGUCCGAUUAGCUGGUUGGUGGGGUAAAGGCCUACCAAGGCUGCGAUCGGUAGCUGGUCUGAGAGGAUGAUCAGCCACACUGGAACUGAGACACGGUCCAGACUCCUACGGGAGGCAGCAGUGGGGAAUCUUGGACAAUGGGCGCAAGCCUGAUCCAGCCAUGCCGCGUGAGUGGAGAAGGCCCUAGGGUUGUAAAGCUCUUUCGGCGGGGAAGAUGAUGACGGUACCCGCAGAAGAAGCCCCGGCUAACUCCGUGCCAGCAGCCGCGGUAAUACGGAGGGGGCUAGCGUUGUUCGGAAUUACUGGGCGUAAAGGGCGCGUAGGCGGACGAUCAAGUCAGGGGUGAAAGGCCCGGGCUCAACCUGGGAACGGCCUUUGAAACUGAUUGUCUCGAGUCCGGGAGAGGAGAGCGGAAUUCCCAGUGUAGAGGUGAAAUUCGUA
rnacentral:rRNA from 1 species